GCGGACAACGGAGACCAGACCUACUGCAGCCACGCGGGCGAGCGGCUGUGUGGAUGUCGGCGAAGCCGCGGGCGAGCCGCGGUGGAAGACGGGGCCAAGGGAAAGGCCAGAGCCUGGGCCAUCUCCAGCCUCACUCACCCUCCUCCCUCACCUGGUCCCUGGGCUGAGGAUCAUGGCCCGGCCUGAGAACCCCCAAGGCAGCACGCAGAGGCCGGGUCUGCACCGAGCCCUGACACUGACAGGCUGUGUGACGACGACUGACAACUAACCCUCUCUGGUUUUGCUUUCUAUCACCUCUUUAAAGGCAGAGCAGUGGGCGCAGGUGCCAUGGCGGGAAGCAGGCCUUUCUGAAUUCUUAGCAGCGAUCUCCAGGGGCACUCUAACCUUGCAAGAAAGAGGCUGCCAGUCUUGCAUCAGAUGCAGAAACCAGGGCGCAGAGUAGGAGCUAGAGCAUCUUGGAUGGAGAAACCUCGGCAAAGACAAAGGCCCAUUGUCCCCCUUCCCCGGCCUU
rnacentral:sRNA from 1 species